GCCAAGUGGCAGCUGGGACUCAGAUGAAAGGGUCCUUAGACGGUUGUCUGUGGCCAAGUGCCCAGCCCAGCACAGCCCAGGCCUGGCAGCCCUGGGCCCAGCUGUCCCCCAAGGCAGCCUGCCACUGGUCCCACACAAGGCUCCCUUUGUGGGACCCACCGCAGGGGAGACCCCUGCCAACCCACAAGGACCCUCUUCCCUUCUCUUUGCUUCCCACCGGCUUGAGAAAGAUUCAAAUCCUUAGAGAAUGGUCCAGGGCUGGGCCCAGCUGGCCUGACUCUGGGCCAGGCACCUUGGAGAGCUUUGUCCCAUUUAAUCUUCCAGAACAGCACUGGUAGCAGGUAGUGUUAUUCCCUUUUAGAGAGGAAGGACAUAGAGACCCGAGGGCCUACCAUGUGUCGAUCACAGUGCCAGGCCCUGGGAAGAGAGUAGUGAACCAGAGGACAAGAGCCAAGAGCAGGGAGCGCACUGUCAGCCGGACUGAUCAAUAACCACACACGCUCUACACCCAGCAUGAAGCCCAACGUGGGGCUUGAACUCAUGGCCCCAAGAUCAAGACCUGAGAUUUACCUCAUCCUUCCUUGGUCUGCACUCUGGAUGCUGAUCUUCAGGGUUCACAUCCAUAGGCUCUCAUCCCUCUGGAUCCCAUGCGUGUUCGUCCCGCGGGAGGCCUAGCGGGACAUCAGAAGGUGCUCACAAUGGGCGAAGAGGAGGGACUGAUCCUUGGAAUUCAUGUGAAUCAUUCCUGGACAAACAAACUUCAGGGAGCAAACAGCGUCCGCUUUGGCCACUUCCCUGGGACCAGCCACUCCCUGACCCUCUUGGGCACACAGCCUGCCAAUCCAGCCAGCAAACCAUCCACUCCCGGUUGCCUGCUGCGCUCAGCCCGGCCCUAUCAGCACUGCAACAAGCAUCCUUUACAUCUAAGAACUGGGCAAGGAAUAUGCACUUUUUGAGGAUCUGUUGCCAACUGAUUAGGGAGGCUGUGCCUACCAUCCAGGCACACACCGUUUUGCCCCAAGUUCAGAGUCAACCCCGCAGACCCCAAAGCUAAGCAUGCGAGUGGCUUUGCAGGUAGGGCCUGACCCUCAGGUAGGUCCCCUCCACUGCCCGUGGCUUCCUGGGAUCCAGAGCAGAAGCACUGAUUUUUUUUCUGGGUUGGUUGGAAAUACCAGUUAAAGAGCUCACACACCACCCCUCUUCUGCUCCACGUUCUCUUUUCUUUCUCCUGCUUCUCCUUUUUCUCGCUUUCCCUUCCUUUUCCAUCUCUCCUUCCUUUUGUUUGCUCCUUCUCCCUCCAGCCUCCACUCUGUGUCUCCCUCUGACUUGGGGCUUCUUUCUCUCUGCCUCUUUUCCCUCUGCUUCCUCUGCCUCUCUACAGUUUUCCCUCACCUUUUCAUCUUCCUCCUGGAACUCAGCCUUGUCUCUGUCUCUUUUCUCUUUCCCCUCCGUGGUUCUCUGUCCUCCACCCACCACUCCUGCUGGCUGAGUCAUAAUUUCCCCUGUGGGUGGGAGGGAUAAAGCAGCCUUUUCCCUGAUAGGUCUUGAUGUGAAGGAGCAGUGAGUUUGCCUCCCACAAGGGCAAAGCUAACCGAUUCCUGAGUGGGGAGCUGCCUGGUAAACCAGUGUGACUCAGGACUUCCAAGUUGGGAGAGGGGCUGUCCAUCAGUCAAGCUUCCCUUGGAUGCUUUGGCAUCAUGGGGGCCAGCAUGCUGUGUCUGAUGACUCACUGGGACAGCCUUGGCAUGGUGGCAGCGGGAUGUGGGGAGGGGUGCUGGAGUUUAUGAUGUUGCCCCUGGGAGGACACCCCCUCUCUGCAGGCAGCCCAGGGAUGGAUGCUGGGGCCCUACAAUCAUGUUCAUCAUUGCAUGGCUUCACAUCAUAAUGGUCAGAUAGGACAUUUAUAACAACUCAGGUUGCUGGGCCCUAAUUCAUCUUUAUUAAACCAGAAUAACUAAGGAUAGGAGUCAGGAAUCUUCAUGUUAAAGAUACUUGAUGCAAAAGCUGGUAGGUAUCUAUUAGACUUGUAAAUGCACACACCCUAUAUUCCAGCAGCCACUCCUGGGACUUUCUUCUAACAAAAUAUUCCCUCAUGUAUUGUGCACGAGGAUUUUUUUUUCAGCAUUGUUUGUAUUAUCAAACAAUUGGGAACACCCUGAAUGUAAUGUCCAUUAGUCGACAAUGGUUAAAUAAAAGAUGAUGUCUCGGGGCACCUGGGUGGCUCAGUGGGUUAAGCUGCUGCCUUCAGAUCGGGUCGUGAUCCCAGAGUCCUGGGAUCGAGUUCCGCGUUGAGAGGGAGCCUGCUUCCCUCUCUCUCUCUCUGCCUGCUUCUCUGUCUACUUGUGAUUU